rnacentral:snRNA from 1 species
GUGCUUGCUUGGUAGCACAUAUACCAAAAUUAGAAUGAUACAGAGAAGAUCAGCAUGGCCCCUGAGCAAGGAAGUAAAGUAUUUUUUUUAAAAAAUCUGGCAGGGCUU